GAUGAACGCUGGCGGCGUGCCUAAUACAUGCAAGUCGAGCGAACGGACGAGAAGCUUGCUUCUCUGAUGUUAGCGGCGGACGGGUGAGUAACACGUGGAUAACCUACCUAUAAGACUGGGAUAACUUCGGGAAACCGGUGCUAAUACCUGAUAAUAUUUUGAACAGCAUGGUUCAAAAGUGAAAGACGGUCUUGCUGUCACUUAUAGAUGGAUCCGCGCUGCAUUAGCUAGUUGGUAAGGUAACGGCUUACCAAGGCAACGAUGAAUAGCCGACCUGAGAGGGUGAUCGGCCACACUGGAACUGAGACACGGUCCAGACUCCUACGGGAGGCAGCAGUAGGGAAUCUUCCGCAAUGGGCGAAAGCCUGACGGAGCAACGCCGCGUGAGUGAUGAAGGUCUUCGGAUCGUAAAACUCUGUUAUUAGGGAAGAACAUAUGUGUAAGUAACUGUGCACAUCUUGACGGUACCUAAUCAGAAAGCCACGGCUAACUACGUG
rnacentral:rRNA from 1 species